GAUGCAGUGGCCUAAUGGUUAGGGUGUUGGACUCUGGAUCGAGUGAUCCAGGCUUGAGCACUGGCUCGGGUCA